rnacentral:rRNA from 1 species
GCAUGUUCACAUGAUUAAAGGUAUUCCGGUAGACGAUGGGGAUGCGUUCCAUUAGAUAGUAGGCGGGGUAACGGCCCACCUAGUCUUCGAUGGAUAGGGGUUCUGAGAGGAAGGUCCCCCACAUUGGAACUGAGACACGGUCCAAACUCCUACGGGAGGCAGCAGUGAGGAAUAUUGGUCAAUGGGCGAGAGCCUGAACCAGCCAAGUAGCGUGAAGGAUGACUGCCCUAUGGGUUGUAAACUUCUUUUAUAAAGGAAUUAAGUCGGGUAUGCAUACCCGUUUGCAUGUACUUUAUGAAUAAGGAUCGGCUAACUCCGUGCCAGCAGCCGCGGUAAUACGGAGGAUCCGAGCGUUAUCCGGAUUUAUUGGGUUUAAAGGGAGCGUAGAUGGAUGUUUAAGUCAGUUGUGAAAGUUUGCGGCUCAACCGUAAAAUUGCAGUUGAUACUGGAUAUCUUGAGUGCAGUUGAGGCAGGCGGAAUUCGUGGUGUAGCGGUGAAAUGCUUAGAUAUCACGAAGAACUCCGAUUGCGAAGGCAGCCUGCUAAGCUGCAACUGACAUUGAGGCUCGAAAGUGUGGGUAUCAAACAGGAUUAGAUACCCUGGUAGUCCACACGGUAAACGAUGAAUACUCGCUGUUUGCGAUAUACAGCAAGCGGCC